rnacentral:misc_RNA from 1 species
GAUGAAGAACGCAGUGAAAUGCGAUAAGUAAUGUGAAUUGCAGAAUUCAGUGAAUCAUCGAAUCUUUGAACGCACCUUGCGCCUUUUGGUAUUCCGAAAGGCACACCUGUUUGAGCGUCAUGAAUACCUCAAUCUCCAUCUUUUCUUCGGAUUGAUGGGUGACUUGGAUGUUGAGCCCUGCUGGUAUGCUAUAUCAGCUGGCUUUAAACUUAUUAGCCGGCUCUGUACUGGAUCGGUUUGACUCGACGUGAUAAUAUUAUCGUUGAGGAUGCAUGUCUCAUGCAGCCGGAAAGUAUCAAAGCAGCUUCUAGCUUGCCUUUAGUGCACUUUUACAUUUUAGACCUCAGAUCAGGUGGGACUACCCGCUGAACUUAAGCAUAUCAAUAAGCGGAGG